GCCACAUCCUCCUUGCUGGAUCUCGCUGGCCUUCCUGCAUCUCAGCCUGCCUCACUACUAUCUGUCAUCCUCAUUCUAGCUUAAAAUGCUUCUGUGGCCUCCCGUGGACCUGAGGAUGAGGACUAACUCUGCUCUGCAUGCAGGCCCUCCUGAGUCAGGCCUUCUUCUCCAGGCUGGUCGCCCACAGUCAUUCUGCCCUCCAGCCAUCCCAAGCCAGAAGGCCUCCUUCUCAGAACUACUGAUUUCACACUUCCCUGUGUUGUACUUUCCCCACCACCCCGACUAGGCAUGCUGCUCCCUCUAUCCUUGCAAACAGAACAUGGCUGUGCAGUCGGCGAGGACAUCCUUCCAGGCUUCCUGACCACAGGCAGGAAGAGAAGUCCCCCCUGCCACUCCACACCCAGGAGAAGAGAGUGGCUGGUCCUGUCAGACUCUGGCUUUCCAAAGUCUGGGCAGGGCCUGGCACAGGGAUUCAGCAGCUAAGAAAGCCAAGAGGAGUUACUGACCAGCUUUUCUCCAGGAUCUCACAUAAACCAGAAGUGCAGCAGCAAUAACCAUCAGGCCAAGCAGGCUCGCAGGAAGCCAAGGAACCAGCCAGUUGCUGGCGGGAGUGAACAAGACUUGAGAACCUGGGAGCAGGGAGAAGAAGGUGGCCAUGAGCACUGAAGAUAAAAUUCGGAAAUGCAUUCUAGCCUGGCACAGAACAGGCAGAAUGACUGAUAUUAGGGGAACCGUCUGGCCUGGGGGAGCCUCAUAGAUGGGCAUGAAGGAUGGCUCAGGGGAUGGCAGCAAGGAUGAUGGUGACACCACGAGUGACCACGUGACUGCUCCCCCCGUGAGGCUCCCCACUCUCCAUGGACUUCAAUAUUUCUCUGCCAGGCUCAGUGGACAGAUGGACUAAUUAGGGUCCAUGCUCAGUCAUGCAGUGGCUGCCAUGAGUCCAGCACUGUGCCAGUCGUGAUGGGAGGUACACAGAGGGUGAGAUCUGACCCCUGCCAGCUUGCUGGGGCUCAAAGCUCUGUUGGAGAACAAAACACACCCUUCAGAGACAGCUUCUUGGGCUCAC
rnacentral:lncRNA from 10 species